rnacentral:rRNA from 1 species
GACGAACGCUGGCGGCGUGCUUAACACAUGCAAGUCGAACGGUAAGGCCCUUCGGGGUACACGAGUGGCGAACGGGUGAGUAACACGUGGGUGAUCUGCCCUGCACUUCGGGAUAAGCCUGGGAAACUGGGUCUAAUACCGGAUAGGACUCCUGGCUUCAUGGUUGGGGGUGGAAAGCUUUUGCGGUGUGGGAUGGGCCCGCGGCCUAUCAGCUUGUUGGUGGGGUAAUGGCCUACCAAGGCGACGACGGGUAGCCGGCCUGAGAGGGUGACCGGUCAAACUGGGACUGAGAUACGGCCCAGACUCCUACGGGAGGCAGCAGUGGGAAUAUUGCACAAUGGGCGCAAGCCUGAUGCAGCGACGCCGCGUGAGGGAUGACGGCCUUCGGGUUGUAAACCUCUUUCAGCUAUGACGAAGCGCAAGUGACGGUAGUAGCAGAAGAAGGACCGGCCAACUACGUGCCAGCAGCCGCAGUAA